rnacentral:rRNA from 1 species
CCUACGGGAGGCUGCAGUAGGGAAUAUUGCUCAAUGGGGGAAACCCUGAAGCAGCAACGCCGCGUGCAGGAUGACGGUUUUCGGAUUUUUAACUCCUUUUUGUAGAAAGGUUAAUGACGGUAUCUAACGAAUAAGCACCGGCUAACUCCGUUCCAGCAGCCGCGGUAAUACGGAGGGUGCAAGCGUUACUCGGAAUCACUGGGCGUAAAGAGCGCGUAGGCGGGAUAGCAAGUCAGAUGUGAAAUCAUAUGGCUUAACCAUAGAACUGCAUUUGAUACUGUUAUUCUAGAGUGUGGGUGAGGUAGGUGGAAUUCUUGGUGUAGCGGUAAAAUGCGUAGAGAUCAAGAGGAAUACUCAUUGCGAAGGCGACCUGCUAGAACAUAACUGACGUUGAUGCGCGAAAGCGUGGGGAGCAAACAGGAUUAGAUACCCGAGUAGUC